rnacentral:lncRNA from 10 species
GCAAUAGUGAAGCAGUAAGAAUACAACCACUUUGACUUUCACCCACAGGUACAUUUUUUAUUUGAUGAUUACAGACAAAAGAAUGCCAUAAUAAAACCAAGUGGGACAUGGGCAAUACCACUGCCAUGGCUGGACUGUGAGGCACUCAGAGAGAGGCAACAUCUGACUGGAAGAGCAGCCCGUGGAAGGAGGGACCUGACUUUGCCACUUUAUCAUCCUGCCAAAGUGGGCCAGCCUCCGAACAUCUUGGAUGAGGACAUCUUCCCAAUAAAAGUGGGAAUGAAAUGUCACAAAAUAAAACCUCAUGGGAGUGGUGUGCAAACCAGAUGAAGUCUGAAACCUGUGACACAAAAGUACCUUGCCAACGAGGCAUAGACAUCUAUUGUACUGCCUGUCCUGUCCUCGUCUCCCUUCUGGGGACAACCCAGAGAACCCUGCCUGAGGAAUGUUCCCUCUCUCACCCACAGUCCUUGCGGCCCAGAUCACCCAGGGAAAGCCAGUGUGACAGUGGAAAGAAGGUACACUUGGGAUCAGGCAAAUCCGUGUGUUAGGAUCAGCCUUUCAAGGCUCAGUUCGACCACCUUUAUUUCCUCACCUGUGAAAUGGGCGAUUGAGCCCAGCCAUCCUGAACCAGGUGAGUUAGCUGGCAUUGGAUAGUACUGGCUUAGUGCAGCCCCUGCCUCAGUGGACCUGAAGGGGAUCUGGGCCAGCAGUACCAGCAUCACUGGAACUUGUUAGAAAUGCCGAUCUCACCCCAGCCCACUCCCACCCCUGAACGACUGACUCCAAAACUGAGAUGGGGCAGCACUUUGUGUUUUUACAAGCCCUCCUGGUGAUCCCUGGGUCAAGUUUGCAAAUCACUGAGGUACCUAUUUGACCACGCCAUCUAGUGGCAGACAGACCUAACAGAUCCUGCGUUCUAGAAAAUGGUUUGUUUCCAGUGCUGGAAUAUUCAGCUUGGAGGACUCCGAAAGACGCUCCCCUCAAGAAGCCUCUAAAUGCAUGAAGGCACAGACUCUGUCAUUCUUUCCACCCAGUGUAUUCCCAGCACCUAAGCACCGUGAGGAAUGAAGGGCAGAUAUUUAAUAAAUAUUUAUUGAAUGAAUGAAUGAGGACAAAUGAAUUAACUUGAAAAAAGGGGCACAUGUCCUAACUCCUAG